CGAUCCCUUCGGGGAUAGUGGCAAACGGGUGAGUAACACAUUGGUAACCUACCCCCGACUGGGGAAUAGCCCACCGAAAGGUGGAUUAAUACCGCAUAAUCUCUACGGAGUAAAGGGGGCCUCUAUUUAUAAGCUUUCACUAUUUGAUGAGCCUGCGUAAGAUUAGCUUGUUGGUGAGGUAAAAGCUCACCAAGGCGACGAUCUUUAGCUGGUCUGAGAGGAUGAUCAGCCACACUGGGACUGAGACACGGCCCAGACUCC
rnacentral:rRNA from 1 species